AACGAACGCUGGCGGCAGGCUUAACACAUGCAAGUCGAGCGAGGACCUCGGGUCUAGCGGCGGACGGGUGAGUAACGCGUGGGAAUGUGCGCUACUCUACUGAACAUCACUGUGAAACAGGGAGUAAUACCGUAUACUCAUUCUGGGGGAAAGAUGUAUCGGAGAAGGAUCAGCCCGCGUUGGAUUAGGUAGUUGGUGGGGUAAUGGCCUACUAAGCCGACGAUCCAUAGCUGGUUUGAGAGGAUGCUCAGCCACACUGGGACUGAGACACGGCCCAGACUCCUACGGGAGGCAGCAGUGGGGAAUCUUAGACAAUGGGGGCAACGCUGAUCUAGCCAUGCCGCGUGAGUGAUGAAGGCCUUAGGGUUGUAAAGCUCUUUCAGCUGGGAAGAUAAUGACGGUACCAGCAGAAGAAGCCCCGGCUAACUCCGUG
rnacentral:rRNA from 1 species